rnacentral:rRNA from 1 species
GAUGAACGCUGGCGGCGUGCCUAAUACAUGCAAGUCGAGCGAACAGACGAGGAGCUUGCUCCUUUGACGUUAGCGGCGGACGGGUGAGUAACACGUGGGUAACCUACCUAUAAGACUGGGAUAACUUCGGGAAACCGGAGCUAAUACCGGAUAAUAUUUCGAACCGCAUGGUUCGAUAGUGAAAGAUGGCUCUGCUAUCACUUAUAGAUGGACCUGCGCCGUAUUAGCUAGUUGGUAAGGUAACGGCUUACCAAGGCAACGAUACGUAGCCGACCUGAGAGGGUGAUCGGCCACACUGGAACUGAGACACGGUCCAGACUCCUACGGGAGGCAGCAGUAGGGAAUCUUCCGCAAUGGGCGAAAGCCUGACGGAGCAACGCCGCGUGAGUGAUGAAGGUCUUCGGAUCGUAAAACGCUGUUAUUAGGGAAGAACAAACGUGUAAGUAACGGUGCACGUCUUGACGGUACCUAAUCAGAAAGCCACGGCUAACUACGU